rnacentral:rRNA from 1 species
GGCGAACUGAUAGUCUUGAGGCAGGUAGGGGCAGAUGGAACUCUUGGUGGAACGGUGGAAUGCGUAGAUAUCAAGAGGAACGUCAGAGGCGAAGGCGAUCUGCUGGGCCUGUCCUGACGCUGAGAUGCGAAAGCCAGGGGAGCGAACGGGAUUAGAUACCCCGGUAGUCCUGGCCAUAAACGAUGUCAACUAGGUCGGAGGUUCUCUGACGAAUUUCCGGCCGAAAUGAAAACGUUAAGUUGACCGCCUGGGGAGUACGGUCGCAAGGCUAAAACUCAAAGGAAUUGACGGGUGCUCACACAAGCGGUGGAGCAUGUUGCUUAAUUCGAUGCAACGCGAAGAACCUUAUCCUGGGCUUGACAUGCUUGGAUGCCUACCUGGAAACAGGAUCGGCUGCCCUUCGGGGUGAAACUUGCACAGGUGCUGCAUGGCUGUCGUCAGCUCGUGUCGUGAGAUGUCGGGUUAAGUCCCUUAACGAGCGAAACCCUUGUCGUUAGUUGCCAGCGAGUAAUGUCGGGGACUCUAACAAGACUGCCGGUGUUAAACCGGAGGAAGGUGGGGAUGACGUCAAGUCCUCAUGGCCUUUAUGCCCAGGGCUGCAAACGUGCUACAAUGGUCGGUACAAACCGAAGCGAGACCGCGAGGUGGAGCAAAUCGGAAAAAACCGGCCCCAGUUCGGAUUGGAGUCUGCAACUCGACUCCAUGAAGUUGGAAUCGCUAGUAAUCGUACAUCAGCGCGGUACGGUGAAUGUGUUCCUGAGCAUUGUACACACCGCCCGUCAAGUCAUGGAAGCCGGGAGCGCCCGAAGUCGCC